UAUAACACAUGCAAGCCCAUCUGAGUGUAUACAUAGCAUAUGGAUUUUUUUAAAUUCAGCACUACUAAUAAAACUCCUGCAAAACUUUCUCUGUUCUCCUCCACCACUGUUUUGAAAGGGCAAAUAAGAAAAAAUCAACCGGAUCACUUGCUCUAGAAGUGUUGCUAACCUUUCUCUUUUGUAAAAUUUUAGGUACAAAAUGGCAUUAAGGAAGAUUUGAUGAAGGCAAUAAUCAAAAAGUAUGAGAGACUCAAAAAUGCAAAAAUGGUAUUAGUGAGUUUUUGAGACAAAGGGAAAGAUACAUUCCAUUCUGGAGUUUUGGACACAUAGCAGAUUUUAAAGUAUGAAAAGCAGUACAGCACUGAUUAUUCUAGUCAUUUCAAUGCUGAGCACUCUGCUCUUUCCUCAAAAGUAGUCACAGGAGCAAUACAACACAGGGCACUAGGAAGUUUAACUGCUGAGUUUAACACUGGAACUGUGGUAAUACCCUCUUUCACAAAAAUAACAUAAUCACAGAAUAGUUAAGGUUGAAAGAGACCUCUGGAGGUCAUCUGGUCCAACCUUUCUGUUCAAGCAGGGACACCUAGAGCUGGUUGCCCAGGACCAAGUCCAAACAACUUUCAAAUUACCUCCAUAGAUGGGGACUCUAUAACCUCUCUGGGUGACCUGUGCCAGUGCCCCAUUAUCCACAACGUAAAGAGGAGCUUCCCAACAUUCAAAGGGAACCUGUGUUUCAGUUUGUGCCCACUGCUUCUUGUCCUGUCACUAGCCAAAACUGAAAAGAGCACAGCUUCAUUCUCUUUGCACCCUCCCUUGAAGCAUCUGUACAUAAGACCCCUCCGAGCCUUCUCUUCUCUCAGCUCCCUCGGCUUUUCUUCAUCAGAGAGCUGCUCCAGUGCCUCCAUCAUCUUUGUGGUCCUUCUCUGGACUCUUUCCAGUAUGUACAUAUCUCUCUUGCACAGGGGAACCCAUAAAAGGACAAAGAACUUCCAGUCUGGCCUCACUCAUGCUGAAUAGAGGGGAAGGAUCACCUCCCAUGACCUGCUGACAAUACUUUGCCUAAUGAAGACCACGACACUAUUUGCCACUUCUGUUACAGGAACACCUUGCUGGCUGUUGUUCAAUUUGGUGCCUGCCAGGGCCCCCAAGUCUUUUUCUGUCAAGCUCCUUUCCAGUUGGGUGGCCCCCAGAAUGUACUGGUGCACGAAGUUGUUCCCCCCACAGGUGCAGGACUUGACACUUGUGCUUGUUGAACUUCUGAAGGUUGCUGUCAGCCUGUUUUUCCAGCCUGACGAGAUGCCUCUGGAUGGCAGCAUGAUCUUCUGCUAUAUCAGCCACUCCUCCCAGUUUGUGUCACCUGAAAACCCACUGAGGGUGAACUCUGCCCCAGCAUCCAAGUCAUUAAUGAAGAUGUUAGACAGGAAUGGACCCAAUAUUGGCCAUGUCUUCUACUUCCAUGUUUUAUGUCAUCAGGGCCCCUGUCCUUUACUUUUUUCUGUUUUCUCUAGUCUUCCUUUUGCCACAUACAACAGCUCUUCUUGUUGCCUUUGUCAUUACUGCCCAGACUGAAUUCCAGCUGGGAUUAAGCUUUCCUCAACUUCAUCCCUGCAUGCUCAGACAGCGUCUCUGUAUUCCUCCUAGGUUACCCGUUCCUGUUCCCACCUGCUGUGUACUUCCUUUUCAUGUUUGAGUUUGGCCAGGAGCUCCUUGUUCAUCCAUGCAGGCCUCCUGGCCUUUUUGCCUGACUUCCUGCAUGUUGGGAUUGACUGCUGUUGAGGUGGGAGGCAAUGACCCUUGCACAUUAACUGGCUUUCUUGACCCCCUGUUUCCUCCAAGGCCUUAUCCCAUGGAACUCUACCAAGAAGAUCCUUGAAGAGGCCCAAGUCUGCUCUUCUGAAGUCCAGUGAUGUGAUCUUGCUUUCUACUCUGCUCCUCUCAGGAUCCUGAACUCCACCAUCCCAGGGUCACUGCAGCCAAGUUUAUCUUCAGCCUUUGCAUCCUCAACAAGCCCUUCCUUAUUGAACCUCCUGGAUUGUUAUGCCCUGCUGUGCCCUCAAGCAGAAAGAUACCAGGUUGGUUGAAGUCCCUCAUGAGGAUCAAGGCCUGUGAACAUAAGACUACUUCUGGCUGCUACAGAGGGCCUCAUCUACUUGUUCUUCCUGCUCAGGUGGCCUGUAGCAGGCACUCACUACAAUGUCUGAUGUUUAUCCUUAUCCAUAAACUCUCAGGUGGCUCAUCAUCUGUCCCCAUUCUUCAGGCAUUCCAAUUAUUCCUCCACAUAAAUGGAAACAGCAUCUUCUCACCUCCCUGCCCUGUCUUUCCUAAAGAGUGUGUAUCGUUGCAUUACAAGCCAUCCUACCCUGUCUCUGUGAUCCCAACAGGAUCAUAGCCCUAAAAUUGCACAAAGAUUUCUAAUCUAUCACAUCUGCUGCAUGCAUUAGUGCCCAUGCACUUCAGAAAGGCAUCCUACCAUGCCAAUUUUCCAGAAAGGGUUUGGGGUUUCCCCAUAACUGUGCUUUGUAAACAUUUCCUUUCUCCAUGCAGAUACUGGAGAAAUACUGCAAAUACCCUGUUUAUGACAGCCUUGUUUUGUUCAUUUUUUGUUCCCUUUUACUCACAUCACUCCAGGCACUUUGCUCAUCAACACUGUCCAUCACUCCCUCAUAGAGCUGCUUGUAACUUUCCCUCUCCCAUCAUUCCUAGCUAGAGCUCUCCUUACCUACACACUUCCGCUUUAACAAUUCUCUUCCACGCCACUCCAGCUCUUUGAGGAUACACACAUCUAGCAUAACAGCAGCCAGCUUAGAACACUGACCUAACACCUACAAAACAUAUUCUCCACAGACUCAUUUAACAAGUCUUAGUUAAUAAGAACCUUGCAAACCCCUGAGCAACCACCCAUCAUCACUCCAAGAUCUGAACUUCUAGAAUCAGCUUUAACUGAAAACCUAAUCGCUUAAAAUAUUCUAUUAGCUAUUCCAAUUUAAAUUCUUACUGGCAGAGGGUAAAAUCAGAGCUUACCUAAGUAUUCCGUUAGGAAAAGUCUUAUCUUAACAGACAGGGCAAACGUUCCCUUUGCCUCUGGAAUUUCCACUCAGAAUACACUAAGACAACUGCUGAUGAAGUUGAAGAGGCUAUCAGGUCUCUAUGGUACUCCCCCUACUCACAAUCCUCUUGAAAAUGAUUUAAGCAAGAGACUGUCUGAUAAUGGGGCUGAACUAGAAAACAGAAAAGUGAGGUGACCGGGAUUAAAACCACUCCUUUUCUAGAUGAUUUAAUCCAACUUAUUACACUGACAUCUGUAUCAGUAUAACACGGAGUAAUGUAAACUACAAAAUAUGACCAGAACUAUUCAGAUCCCUAUUUCACACUGAAGUCAGUGUGAAAGAUAUAAUCUCUCAAAACUAUCCCAUGAUUAAUAUUUUAGUACUUAAGGUUUGUACUAACAGCUAAGAGAGAAACUGUUAGAAAAAAAAAACACAAACAAAACAACAAUCUAGGCAGCAGAAGUAUUUGUCUUUCUAUCUGAAGUAUUGGCAUAAAAGAGAAGUUGGAUAAGUGUUUGUUUCCGAAUUUAUUUUGAAAAAGGAUAUACUGAUGCCUUUAUUUUUCAACAUCACAAAAAGUUACCUAGGACACUGAAAAACAGCAAAAGAACUUUGCAAAAGAAACUUUUAUAUUAGAAGAGAUUUUCAAGGCCUGAUGAAACAAUUACAGUUAAUUCAGACAGCGCUACUUAAAUAGCAAGCUCUUCUCAGAAGCCAGAUAACACCUUUUUUUUUAAAAAAAAAAAAACAAACAAAAAAGAUUCAUCAGCUUGCCAUCUUGUGCUGGUUCUGCAGCAGGCUGAGCUGACCUUGAAGCUCUAUGUUUGGUCAGGGAGGUUGGAUCCUGACACUGAAAGAAACAAAGGAUAUCUCUACAGAUAUCUCUACAGAUACAAAACUUUCAAGCUUUGUAAAUAGUGCAAAUUGCUGGUCCAGCAUAGUGCUGCAAUUGCACUGUUUUUUCCUAAAUGGAGGAUGCAGGGUACAAGGAGUAACAAAAAAUAAGGUAAACCUGACUAAACAAAUUGCUGAACUAUACAAUCAUAAGGUUUGCAACGAACUAUUAACAGCCUAACAAACUUACAAUACUCUCAUUAGGAGACAAAUCAAGUAAUGUUUAAAGCUGCAGAAUGAUGCCUUCUAAUUAUAGUGCUGUCUAUUAAGAGAUUUUUAGGUCCAAGUACACAAAGAAAAGAAAAAGCAAAACCAAAAACAUAGAAACAGUGAACCUACAGCAUUAGAGCUGGGGUAGGUAGGGAAGAGUAUACAGAGCCCAUCAGUAUAGUCCAUAAAAUGUGAAAAAAAAAUGUGAAAUGAAUCAGAGUUGAGUUCAGAACACUAGCUGACUCAGCUUAGGACUUCAGUGCAAGGACAUUUCCAGAGGCAAGGGAGGUAUUAUCAUAUAGCAAUGGCUAUAUUCAGAUUAUUUUAUUCAGCAGUCAGGGCUAUCUGUAGAAGAAGAAGCAUUUUUCAUGCAAGUCAGCCACAGGCUAUGAGGGGGGAAAAAAAAAAAAAAAAGAGUAAAACUCACAUGAGAUAUUUAUCUGCUUAAUUCUGAUAAAUGUAUACAGACAAAAGUGUAAUACACAUGAACAGCAAAGGUAACCACAAAGGUACCUGCACUUUUUUUUCCAAACAUGAGACUGUUCCGGGCAGGCAUCUACAGCUAAUUUGAGAGAGAUCACAAUGGCCUUUGUUACACAAAACUUUUUGUUUAGGAAUGGACAUAUGAGCAUUAACUAUGACUUUUGAGGGCGUUUGAGUGGAAAAAACAUCAGAAAAACACAAUAUGCAAAUGUCAUCCAAUUAAUUUAUUAUUAUUUAAGUUUAAACAGGAAUGCAAAAUUGUUUUUGUGUUUUAAGUAAUUAUUACUACCUGAAGUUUUUGUGUUGUCUUACCUAGGUUUGAGAAGUCGUAUACUCCUAAAAAUAA